UACGUAGGGCGCAAGCGUUGUCCGGAAUUAUUGGGCGUAAAGAGCUCGUAGGCGGUUUGUCGCGUCUGCUGUGAAAACCUAAGGCUCAACCUUGGGCUUGCAGUGGGUACGGGCAGACUAGAGUGCGGUAGGGGUGACUGGAAUUUCUGGUGUAGCGGUGGAAUGCGCAGAUAUCAGGAGGAACACCGAUGGCGAAGGCAGGUCACUGGGGCCGC
rnacentral:rRNA from 1 species